rnacentral:rRNA from 1 species
AAAAGUGAAAGACGGUCUUGCUGUCACUUAUAGAUGGAUCCGCGCUGCAUUAGCUAGUUGGUAAGGUAACGGCUUACCAAGGCAACGAUGCAUAGCCGACCUGAGAGGGUGAUCGGCCACACUGGAACUGAGACACGGUCCAGACUCCUACGGGAGGCAGCAGUAGGGAAUCUUCCGCAAUGGGCGAAAGCCUGACGGAGCAACGCCGCGUGAGUGAUGAAGGUCUUCGGAUCGUAAAACUCUGUUAUUAGGGAAGAACAUAUGUGUAAGUAACUGUGCACAUCUUGACGGUACCUAAUCAGAAAGCCACGGCUAACUACGUGCCAGCAGCCGCGGUAAUACGUAGGUGGCAAGCGUUAUCCGGAAUUAUUGGGCGUAAAGCGCGCGUAGGCGGUUUUUUAAGUCUGAUGUGAAAGCCCACGGCUCAACCGUGGAGGGUCAUUGGAAACUGGAAAACUUGAGUGCAGAAGAGGAAAGUGGAAUUCCAUGUGUAGCGGUGAAAUGCGCAGAGAUAUGGAGGAACACCAGUGGCGAAGGCGACUUUCUGGUCUGUAACUGACGCUGAUGUGCGAAAGCGUGGGGAUCAAACAGGAUUAGAUACCCUGGUAGUCCACGCCGUAAACGAUGAGUGCUAAGUGUUAGGGGGUUUCCGCCCCUUAGUGCUGCAGCUAACGCAUUAAGCACUCCGCCUGGGGAGUACGACCGCAAGGUUGA